rnacentral:rRNA from 1 species
UACGUAGGUGGCAAGCGUUGUCCGGAUUUACUGGGCGUAAAGGGCGUGCAGGCGGUUUGUUAAGUCUAGGGUGAAAGCUCCCGGCUCAACUGGGAGAGGUCCUUGGAUACUGGCGAACUUGAGGGAUGCAGAGGAAAGUGGAAUUCCCGGUGUAGUGGUGAUAUGCGUAGAGAUCGGGAGGAACACCGGUGGCGAAGGCGGGUCUCUGGGCAUCUCCUGACGCUGAGGCGCGAAAGCGUGGGGAGCGAACAGG